rnacentral:rRNA from 1 species
UACGGGGGGAGCAAGCGUUGUUCGGAUUUACUGGGCGUAAAGGGCGCGUAGGCGGCCUCUGCAAGUCGACUGUGAAAUCUCCGGGCUUAACCCGGAAAGGUCAGCCGAUACUGCAGGGCUAGAGUGCAGAAGGGGCAACUGGAAUUCUCGGUGUAGCGGUGAAAUGCGUAGAUAUCGAGAGGAACACCUGCGGCGAAGGCGGGUUGCUGGGCUGACACUGACGCUGAAGCGCGAAAGCCAGGGGAGCGAACGGG